rnacentral:rRNA from 1 species
CCUACGGGAGGCUGCAGUGAGGAAUAUUGGUCAAUGGACGAGAGUCUGAACCAGCCAAGUAGCGUGAAGGAUGACUGCCCUAUGGGUUGUAAACUUCUUUUAUAAAGGAAUAAAACGAGGCACGUGUGCCUUUUUGCAUGUACUUUAUGAAUAAGGAUCGGCUAACUCCGUGUCAGCAGCCGCGGUAAUACGGAGGAUCCGAGCGUUAUCCGGAUUUAUUGGGUUUAAAGGGAGGGUAGGUGGGUUGUUAAGUCAGUUGUGAAAGUUUGCGGCUCAAACGUAAAAUUGCAAUUGAUACUGGGAGUCUUGAGUGCAGUUGAGGUAGGCGGAAUUCGUGGUGUAGCGGUGAAAUGCGUAGAUAUCACGAAGAACCCCGAUUGCGAAGGCAGCUUACUAAACUGUGACUGACAUUGAUGCUCGAAAGUGUGGGUAUCAAACAGGAUUAGAUACCCCUGUAGUC